GAGACUUUCUCCCUAUUCAGAGAUACUGAGUUUCUACAGUUGGUGAUGGAAGGACAACCAAGCACCCACCUGUCUAUUCUUCAAGGAAGGCUUCCUUCACAUACCCUCUGAGACAAGCUUAAUGGCCGCCAGAGUUUCAAAGGUCACUGAAAUCAACUCAUUUCUUCCAGCAGCCCAGAACUAUCCUUACGGAAUCUGACAUCUUCUCAUCUCUGGGGUGGAGCAACAGGAGAAUAGAACGGAAGGCCUCAACUUGAGACUCUGGAGAGCAAGAUGCACGCCUUGUUAUCCCCAGGAUCUCACAGAUCACCUUGUCUUCAGUCAGGAGCCAAUAAAUGUGUGAAUGAACGAGAGAAGAAAGGAAGGAAGGAGGCCAGGGGCUAUAAGGACAAGGGGGACU